CUUCACCGACCCCAGCCAGAGCGGUUCGCCGGAGCGAUCACGCCCGUACGUGGCCAGCAGCGCCUGCGCCUC
rnacentral:antisense_RNA from 1 species